rnacentral:rRNA from 1 species
UCAGACGAUGCGUCAUGCAUAUCAAUAAGCGGAGGAAAAGAAACUAACAAGGGAUUCCCCUAGUAACGGCGAGUGAAGCGGGAAGAGCUCAAAUUUGAAAUCUUAAAGGGUUUCCCUUUACGAAUUGUAGUUUAAAGAAGUGUUUUCUGUUGAGGUUUUGGUAAAAGUUCUUUGGAAUAGGACAUCAUAGAGGGUGAGAAUCCCGUAUUUGACCUUUACUUUCAACUUUGUGAUACACUUUCAAAGAGUCGGAUUGUUUGGGAAUGCAGUCCAAAAUGGGUGGUAAAUUUCAUCUAAAGCUAAAUAUUGGCGAGAGACCGAUAGCGAACAAGUACCGUGAGGGAAAGAUGAAAAGAACUUUGAAAAGAGAGUUAAACAGUACGUGAAAUUGUCAAAAGGGAAGCGUUUGACACCAGUGUUGUUUUUCUGAAAAUCAAUUAAAGAACUGUUUAUGCUAAGCUGUUUAGACUUUAUCAGCUAUCUGUUUAGUUUUGAGCUUUUCUUUAAUGCACUUUUCAGUUAACAAGUCAACAUCAAUUUCUUUUGCUGUAAAAAAGCUUGAGGAAGGUGGCUUGAGAUUCGUCUUAAGUGUUUAUAGCCUCUUGCCUAUGCAGUCGGAGAGAUUGAGGUCUGCAGCGUAGAUCCUUCGGGGCUAAAUGCAUUUGUGCUGAGUUAUAGCAUUUUAUAGACAACUUGUUGACUAUGAUUUGUCUUGUAGCUUACUCGCUUAUGUUAUUUUACCUACGCUUAGGAUGUUGAAUCUGUGCGAGACUAC